GCCUGGUCUCAAGACACAGUCAGUUGGGGAUCAGCGGCCACACUCAUCGUAGCAGAGAGGCAGGAACAGCUGGGCGAGGGUCCUUCUGUGACAUCUACUGCAUCACUGGGCUCUGUGAAGUAACUCAGCUGCCAGAACUCACACAAAACCUCACGGGAAAAAUGCAUCACGAACCUCAGACUUAAACAGCACAACAGGCUCCUCCCAGGUCUCCAGCUACACAACCCUCAGAUUAAACAACAGCAGCAGCACCAGCUCCUCCCUGGGUCUCCAGCUCCACAAACCUCAAAUUAGAACAGCAGCACUGGCUCCUUGUCUCCAGCUCCACACCUCAAACUUGAACUACAGCACCAGCUCCUUCCUGGGUCUCCGGCUCCACGGACCUUAAACGAAAACAGCAGCACUGGCUCCUCCCCGGUCCCCAGCUACAGACCCUCAAACUAGAACAGCAGCACCAGCUCCACCUAAAGUCUCCAGCUCCACACCUCAAACUAGAACUUCAGCACCCGCUCCUCCCCGAGUCUCAAUAUCUAUGACCCUCAAAAUAAAACAGCAGGACCAGCUCCUCCUCUGGUCUUCAGCUUCACGACCUUAACUAUAACAGCACCACCCGCUCCUCCGGGGUCAACAGCUCCGACGCUAAAACUAGAACAGCGGACCAGCUUCUACCUAAAACACCAGCUCCGAGACUCUCAAACAAGAACAGCAGCACUGACUUCUCUCACCAGGUCUCCAGCUCCACGAACCUCAAACUUGAACAGCAGCACUCGCUCCUCCCAAGGUCUCCAGCUCCGCGAACGUCAAACUUGAACUGCAGCACCUGCUCCUCCCCGGGUCUCCAGCUCCACGAACCUUAAACUAAAACAGCAGUACUCGCUCCUCCCCAGGUCCCCAGCUGCAGACCUUCAAGCUGCAACAGCAGCACCAUCUCCUCUCCAGGUCUCCAGCUCCAUGGACCUUAAACUAGAACAGCAGCACCAGCUCCUCUUUGGGACAACAGCUCCAAGACCCUCAAACUACAACAGCAGCCCUGACUCCUGCCCAGGUUUACAGCUCCACAAACCUCAAACUUGAACUUCAGCACUGGCUGAAGUCUCCAGCCCCCUGACCCUCAAACUAGAACAGCAGCACCAUCUCCUCUCUGGGUCUCCAGCUCCAUGGACCUUAAACUAAAACAGCAGCACCAGCUCCUCCCGAGGUCCCCAUCUACAGACCCUCAAACUACAACAGCAGCACCAGCUCCACCCAAAGUCUCCAGCUCCCCACCUCAAACUAGAACUCCAGCACCCGCUCCUCCCCGAGUCUCAAUAUCCGCCACUCUCAAACAGCAGCACCGGCUCCUCCCCUGGUCUUCAGCUUCACGACCCUAACUAUAACAGCACCACCUGCUCCUCCGGGGUCAACAGCUCCAAGACCCUAAAACUAGAACAGCAGACCAGCUUCUACCCAGGUCACCAGCUCCGAGACUCUCAAACUAGAACAGCAGCCUUAACUUCUCGCCAAAUCUCCAACUCCACGACCCUUAAACUUGAACUGCAGCACCUGCUCCUCCCCAGGUCUCCAGCUUUACGGACCUUAAACUAAAACAGCAGCACCAGCUCCUCCUGAGGUCCCCAGCUACAGACCCUCAAACUAAACAGGAGCACUGACUCCUGCCCACAUAUUCAGCUCCACGAACCUCAAAAUUAAACUUCAGUACCAACUCCUUCCCGCGUCUCCAGCUCCAUGACCCUCAAACUACAAUAGCAACACUGGCUCCCCCAUCCCAGGUCUCCAUCUCCACGACCAUCAAACUUGAGUUGCAACACUGGCUCCACCCAAAUUCUCCAGCUCCAGGAUGCUAACUGCAAUAGCAGCACCAGCUCCUCUGCAGGUCACCAGCUCCAAGACUCUCAAACUAGUACAGCAGCACUGACUCCUCCCCAGGUUUCCAGCUCCAUGAACCUCAAACUUGAACUGCAGCACCACCUCCUCCCUGGUUCUCCAGCUUCACGACCCUCAAACUAGAACAGCAGCACCAGCUCCAACCAAAGUCUCCAUCUCCACGCCUCCAACUUGAACUCCAGCACCAGCUCCUUCCUGGGUCUCAUGAUCCAUGACCCUGAAAAUAAAACAGCAGCACCGGCUCCUCUCUAGGUCUCCAGCUCCACGAACCUCAAAUUUAAAAAGCAGCCCCGGCUCUAACCCAGGUCUCCAGCUCCACCAUCGUCAAACUUGAACGGCAGCACUAGCUCCUCCCAAAGUCUCCAGCCCCACGACCCUAAAACAUGAAGAGCAGCAUUGGCUCCUCCCCAGGUCUUUAGCUUCACAACCCUAACUCUUACAGCAACACCCGCUCCUCCCCAGGUUGCCAGCUCCAAGACCCUAAAACUAGAACAGCAGACCGGCUCCUGCUCAGGACACCAGCUCCAAGACUGUUAAACUAGAAGAGCAGCACUGAUUUCUCACCAGGUCUCUAGCUCCACGACCCUCACACUUGAACUACAGCCACAGCUCCGCCCAGGUCUCCAGCUCCAGGGACCUUAAACUAAAAUAGCAACACCAGCUCCUCUGCAGGUCCCUAGCUACAGAACCUCAAACUAGAAUAGCAGCACCGUCUCCUCUCCAGUGCUCCAGCUCCACGACCUUGAAACUAGAAAAGAAACACUGACUCCUCCCCACCCCCCACCACCAAUCUCCAUCUCCAGGAACAUCAAACUUGAACUACAACAGCAGCUCAACCCAAAGUCUCCAGCUCCCCGACGCUAACUACAACAGCAGCACCAGCUCCUCCCUGGGUCACCAGCUCCAAGAUCCUCAAACCAGAACAGCAGCACUGACUCCUGCCCAGGUCACCAGCUCCAAGACUCUCAAACUAGAAUAGCCACACUGACUCCUGUCCAGGUUUCCAGCUCCAUGAAACUCAAACUUGAAUUGCAACACUGGCUCCUCUCCAGGUCUCCAGCCACUCAUCCCUCAAACUGUUGCUCCUCCCUGUGUCUCCAGCUUCAUGACCCUCAAACUUGAACUGCGGCACCCGUUCCUCCCCGGGUCUCCAGCUCCACGACACUUGAACUGCAGCACUUGAUCCUUCCUGAGUCUCCAGCUCCAUGACCCUUAUACUUGAACAGCAGCACCAAUUCCUGCCCAGGUCUCCAGCCUCAUGACCUUCAAAUUUAAAAAGCAGAACUGGCUCCAACCCAGGUCUCCUGCUCCACCAUCAUCAAACUUGAAUGGCAGCACUAACUCGCCACAAAGUCUCCAGCUCCCACGACCCUUAAAUGUGAACAGCAGCACUGGCUCCUCCCCAGGUGUUCAGUUUCACGACCCUAACUAUUACAGCAACACCUGCUGCUCCUCCCCGGGUCACCAACUCCAAGACCCUAAAACUAGAACAGCACACCGGCUCCUACCCAGGUCACCAGCUCCAAGACUCUCAAACUAGAACAGCAGCACUGACUUCUCGCCAGGUCUCCAGCUCCAUGACCCUCAAGCUUGUACCGCAGCAACAGCUCCACCCAGGUCUCCAGCUCCACAAACCUUAAACAGCAGCACCGGCUCCUCCAGAGGUCCCCAGCUACAGACCCUCAAACUAGAACAGGAGCACUGACUCCUGCCCAGAUAUCCAGCUCCACGAACCUCAAACUUGAACUGCAGUACCAGCUCCUUCCCGGGUCUUUAGCUCCAUGACCCUGAAAAUAAAACAGCAGCACUGGCUUUUCCCCAGAUCCCCAGCUCCACGACCCUCAAAUUUAAAAAGCAGCACCAGCUCCUCCCUGGGUCAGCACCUCCAUGACCCUCAAACCUGAACUGCAGCACUGGCUCCUCCCCGGGUCACCAGAUCCCAGACCCUCAAACUAGAACAGCAGCACUGACUCCUCCCCAUAUCUCCAGCUCCAUGACCAUCAAACUUGAAGACUGGCACCAUUUCCUUUCUGGGUCUCCAGCUCCACGAUCUUCAGACUUGAAUGGCAGCACUGGCUCCUCCCUGGGUCUCGAACCUGCCCAGCCUGCAGAUUUUGGACUUGCUAGCCUUCGGGAUCACAUUAGCCAAUUCCUUAAACUCGACCUCUUUCUCUGUAUGUAGGAUAUGGAUGCCUCCUGCUGGCUCUUUUUCCGGAAAGCCCAGUGAACACACCGUGCAUCAGGCUCCAUCAUUCACCAGAGCGUCUUUCCAACAGACUUUGCUGUGAUAUUUCUUAAAUAAAGGUCACUCCAAAGACUCUCACCUCUGGAUUGUAACCAACUCAGUGGCAGACUUAAUCCAUUUCUAUCUGCUGACAUUUCUCACAUGGAAUAGGCUGUUUGACAGAUUGAAGCUGUCUCCCCCCACUCCCCAGGCCAGUGCACACUUAUCUCCCUUGAAUAUUGAUUUUGUGCUCAUUUUAGAGACUGAGGCAAAAAGACCGGCAAAUACAAGGUGAAGUCAGUGACAAAUAAACAAUGCUAUUUAGGCAUUGAGA